GAAGGAUGCAAGCGUUAUCCGGAUUCAKUGGGUUUAAAGGGAGCGUAGGUGGACUGAUAAGUCAGUGGUGAAAUCUCUUCGCUUAACGAAGAAAUUGCCAUUGAUACUGUUGGUCUUGAGUACAGUUGCUGUGGGCGGAAUAUGACAUGUAGUGGUGAAAUACAUAGAGAUGUCAUAGAACACCGAUUGCGAAGGCAGCUCACAAAGCUGUAACUGACACUGAGGCUCGAAAGUGCGGGGAUCAAACAGGAUUAGAUACCCUGGUAGUCCGCACCGUAAACGAUGAUUACUCGCUGCUAGAGGGCAACUUUUAGUGGCUUAGCGAAAGCGAUAAGUAAUCCACCUGGGGAGUACGCCGGCAACGGUG
rnacentral:rRNA from 1 species